UAGCUGUCUCCUCUGGAGGUCCUUGACCUUCAUACCUCGAGGGCAACGGUUUUCCGUUGGCCAUUUUUUGUUAAAUG
rnacentral:sRNA from 1 species